UAGCAGCGGCAGUGGCAGCAGCGGGCGAGUUGGAACUUUGUUUACAGAGUCUACAACUGGCAGACGUGGGUUGAGAGUUCCUGUUUGAAACCCUUCCUCCCUGCAUCUUCUCUGUCUUCAGAGAGAACUGGACCUCCAGAGAGGCAGGAAUCCCCUAGCAGCACUGCCUGAGCUGGUGAUGGCAUGGCCUUUGAUGAAUGAGCUCAUACAAUAUCUCUUCACUUUCUCAUCUAAGGCGUCUUCUGGGGGUUGGAGUGGAGGUUUCCCUUCAAUGGCCCGGGUAGGAUUUCGUUGUCUUGGGGGUAGAUCUGAAGACUCACUCCCACUGCGAUGGGUGGGGGUAAGGGAGCUUCUCUGAUCGCGCUGGGGUCGCUAUUUAUACUCAUCCUCCACCUUCGCUAUCCCUGGCUGCUGUCUCCUAGGGUCCUCAUCUCAGUCUUCCUGCGCAGGGAUCUAGGCAGUAUGGAUGGGACCGACCUCACAGAGGAGACUGCCUACCUCAGAUAGCAAUAGAGGAGAGUCGGUUUGGGCCCUGGAUGACAGAUCGUAACUGUCCUGAGUGGCUGGACAUCUUAGAGUGAACAGCAGACAGCACCGGCUUCAUGUGAGAGUCCUGCCUGGACAUUGAGGAUGGAUCCGAGAGAGAAGCGCAGAGCCUGACGGAUCAGACACCACCACCCCUUAGCGGCGACGAAACCGAGCGGUAAACGCGCUGGAUCGUGAGAAGCACUUGUCUAGCUAGGCCAAGGAGAGAGGCGCAGGGAGAGCGAGGUGAUCCAGACCAGACAGGGAACCCUGCGGGGCGUGGCGGGGCCGGGGGUGAAGCUUGCAGAGGUAGUUGCCCGUGAAGAGCAGCUUGUGCGCUGUUGGAUCCUUGGAGUGGAGUGGGAACUCCGAGGUGAAGCGCACCGUGUUCAGCCCGAUGCCGGUGAGCGGCCGUUGGAACGCGUGGCAGAGAAAGCUUGCGCGAGCCCAGGGCGCGAAGAAGUACAACAAAGGGCCAACGGGGAGGUCCAACGGUCCGACCCCAGCCGGACUCGAGCUCACUCGGUUGCAGGCGUUAGGCUCCCAGCGGCUCUCAGCCGUUAAGUGGAGAAUGUUCAGGACUGUCGAGGCGCGCUCCGCACCUGGCCUGAAAGCGGGAGAUUUGGCAACCAGUGCGCGUGGGUGCGCCGGCCCUUGCAGCUGGGGACUCUGGAGGCAGACCUUGCCCAAAGCCAGAGGCAGGAACUCCCCAGAUCCUCCCAGGGUAGCAUGGGAGGAUGCCGCCUCCUCCAGGAAGCUCUCUAGCGCUUUUCCGAGUCCUGGAGCCAGGCGGGACUUCUCUGUGGUCGCCUAGAAGGGUAUGAACUUAGGGCAUCCCCAUCUGGGCUGUGAAGGUUUCUGACUUGGGGACCAGGUGCUCAGACCUUCCUGGAUGCUGCUUUCCACAAUAUCUCUACCAGGCAGGCAGGUUCUCUUCAUUUUGCAAAUUUGGUGAAACAGCAUUUGUAAAACUUUAGAAGCUUCCUUGGCUCACACAGGUGGUAGUGGCCCUGUCAGGAUUUGACCCAGGCUCUCGGAUUCCAGAGUUCCUGAAUUUAACCACCUGUACUGUGAUGCCUCCUUAUCAUGUGUGCAUCGUGCAUUACUAUUUUUUAUAGCCUGUAGGGUACUGAGCACCAUGCACACCUACAGUGAUCACAGGCACUGCCUACUGGAAGGUCUUCUUUGGCUGGGUUCCAGUUUCCUCAGACGAUGUAGGGCAGGGAGUUCCACUUGUUAGCAUAUCCCACAGGGCCUUUCUCUUCAAAUGGACCCCAGCAGCCAACCACACAGCUGCCUCAGCAAGCGUAGGAGAUGGCACAUCAGAGACCAACAAUUGUCAGCACAGCAAAACUGGGCAUUUCUUUUCUUACUGAGCUUUGCAGCUACCUACACAGUUGUGUGUGGCAUCUCCUCCUGGGUGCAAGGACAUGAGAUGACAUCAGCUACGAGCCUAUAUCCUUCAACCCUUGG
rnacentral:lncRNA from 1 species